rnacentral:lncRNA from 1 species
CUAAAAUGUAAUGUCUCCCAUCUUCCCGAGUGGCUGCUUUCACAACAUAUAGCUAAUGGUGCCCAUUACAGCAGCAGAGACAAAGACAGCCAGCAUCUUUCACAGUAAUGACAGGUCCUAAGGGUCAGAACUAGAAGUACUUUCUUUGUGAGUCUCAAAGAGUUUGAUUUUGAUAAAUUACUUUUAUUGUCUUAGCUCAGUUUUGGAAUAUCCUUGAUUUUACUUUGAAAAGUUUUCACAGUGUGGAUUCUGGUGGAGCUUGGGCAGUAUAGAAGAGGGAUGAAAAGGUGGAAACCAAGCAGAAGAGAGGCCGCACUUUUUAUUGCAUUUUGAAGUAUGCUUUAUGGAUUUGGGACAUGCUUUGUUGGUCUAGUGUCCUGGAAAGAUAAUUGAAUCAUCCUUCUCAAUGGACCAGUUUCUGAACUGCUACAGAAAGAGACUGGCUCGGGAGUUGGCUUCUGCCCUGCUGAUUGAUGUGCCUUCUCCACCAUCCUUCAGCACAAUCGGCGCAGCCCACCAGGAGUACCACUCAGGAGCCACCGACAUCAUUUGAAUGACCCUUCAUCACCUCCAGUCCUCUCUUAAAACUUCCAUUAAAAGAGGUCAAAUGCUGCCUCGGAGCCUGUUAGCAGCUCCCACCUGAAAGUCACCCAAUUUUCAUUUACAAUUUGUUAGUCAUUUGUGACGUGUUUUUCAGCAGUGCUCUUUUUAACAGCUUCCAGUUUGUUCAGUGUCUUUUCUCCACCUGCUCAGAGAACUUCUUCUGAUGGGAAAAGUUCAGUUGAUACCAAGGAAAGUUUAAUAUACUUCUAUGUUUAUCCUUUAAGAUUUCUUUUCUUUCUGGCUGAUAGGUGAUGAAACAACAUUCACACAACUACAAAGUUCCCCUUUCUAUGAUGGAUAAAUUUCAUGUCAUCCCAGAAUACCUGUUUAACAUUAAAAAGUUGAUGGAAAUCUUUGUUAUCAAGGAAGAUCUCUCAAAUAAAUACCCUUUUCCCCCCCAAAACAAAUCUGCAUUAUUUUUAUCUCCAUAAUAUAUAGAAGAUGACACAUUAUUUCAAAAUAUUAGUGUUCUCUUAUUCCCGGGCAAGUAGAGAAAGCUAUAAGAGCAUUGAAAUAGUGAUUGGUAUAUAUGUUAUUAUUGCAACCAAUUUUUCUACUGAUCUA